rnacentral:misc_RNA from 1 species
UACGGAGGGUGCGAGCGUUGUUCGGAAUUAUUGGGCGUAAAGCGCGCGCAGGCGGGACGUUAAGUCCGAUGUGAAAUCCCUCGGCUCAACCGAGGACGUGCAUUGGAUACUGGCAUUCUUGAGUCCUGGAGAGGGUGGCGGAAUUCCCAGUGUAGAGGUGAAAUUCGUAGAUAUUGGGAGGAACACCGGCGGCGAAGGCGGCCACCUGGACAGUGACUGACGCUGAGGCGCGAAAGCAUGGGUAGCAAACAGG